CGACGAUCCAGUAGCCCGGUCCGUGAGAGGAUGAACGGCCACAUUGGGACUGAGACACGGCCCAGACUCCUACGGGAGGCAGCAGUGGGGAAUCUUCCGCAAUGGACGAAAGUCUGACGGAGCAACGCCGCGUGAGUGAAGACGGUCUUCGGAUUGUAAAGCUCUGUUAUACGGGACGAACGGCAAGGUGGUAAAUAGCCAUCAUGAGUGACGGUACCGUAAGAGAAAGCCACGGCUAACUACGUGCCAGCAGCCGCGGUAAU
rnacentral:rRNA from 1 species